AAGGUCACGGCUAGACUAGCCGUUUAUUAUUAUGAUAGGUGUCAAGUGGAGGUGCAGUGA
rnacentral:rRNA from 1 species